AGAGUUUUGAUCAUGGNUCAGAUUGAACGCUGGCGGAAUNCUUACACAUGCAAGUCGAACGGCAGCACGGGAGCAAUCCUGGUGGCGAGUGGCGAACGGGUGAGUAAUACAUCGGAACGUGCCCAAUCGUGGGGGAUAACGUAGCGAAAGCUACGCUAAUACCGCAUACGAUCUACGGAUGAAAGCAGGGGAUCGCAAGACCUUGCGCGAAUGGAGCGGCCGAUGGCAGAUUAGGUAGUUGGUGGGGUAAAGGCUCACCAAGCCUUCGAUCUGUAGCUGGUCUGAGAGGACGACCAGCCACACUGGGACUGAGACACGGCCCAGACUCCUACGGGAGGCAGCAGUGGGGAAUUUUGGACAAUGGGCGCAAGCCUGAUCCAGCCAUUCCGCGUGCAGGAUGAAGGCCUUCGGGUUGUAAACUGCUUUUGUACGGAACGAAAAGCCUUUUUCUAAUACAGGAAGGUCAUGACGGUACCGUAAGAAUAAGCACCGGCUAACUACGUGCCAGCAGCCGCGGUAAUACGUAGGGUGCAAGCGUUAAUCGGAAUUACUGGGCGUAAAGCGUGCGCAGGCGGUGAUGUAAGACAGAUGUGAAAUCCCCGGGCUCAACCUGGGAACUGCAUUUGUGACUGCAUCGCUGGAGUGCGGCAGAGGGGGAUGGAAUUCCGCGUGUAGCAGUGAAAUGCGUAGAUAUGCGGAGGAACACCGAUGGCGAAGGCAAUCCCCUGGGCCUGCACUGACGCUCAUGCACGAAAGCGUGGGGAGCAAACAGGAUUAGAUACCCUGGUAGUCCACGCCCUAAACGAUGUCAACUGGUUGUUGGGUCUUCACUGACUCAGUAACGAAGCUAACCGCGUGAAGUGACCGCCUGG
rnacentral:rRNA from 1 species